ACACACUGUCUGUCACUCACAUGGUCUCUCAUGUGCUCUUUUCCAUACAAUCACUUGCUCUCCGUCUCUCUCACCUGCUCUCCCAAGCACUCUCUUCCAGACACUCACACUCUCAGAGUGACACUGGCUCAUGCUCUCUCCCACAAACAGGACACUUACCUGCGGCACCAGCACCUAUGGUGGGAUAUACUUUGGGAUGAACUACCUACCUGUACUACUUAUUCACACUUACUAAUUCCCUGUCUCAAUCUCAUGCCCUCAUUCUCGCACAUUCUCU